ACAGGUGCUCUUCAUGGAAUCCUCAGGGUCCCAGGCUGCUGCCCCGUCUGCCAGCCCUAACAUACAGGUCAGACCCUCGGCCUCAUGGUUAAGGAGGGCAGUGUGUGCAUCUGGACAGCAGGACGGAGACAGGAACAAGGAAAAAGGGGCCAAGGGCUUGUAUUGGCUGCUGUGUAAAAACAGAGGUCCUUAAAUCUGCCAACGGCUACCCGGCACCAUCGGAAGGUGAUUGAUUUCCAGCAGCUCACAUUCUGCCACCUCCUCCCUACUUCUGCCUACAGUCAAGGCCCCUGCCAGUUCUCUUGCUCCGCCUGCCUAUUGGCACGUACCACUGUUUUGCCACUUUAUAAAAGAAGGUAGACCUCCUAUCUGCACAAGAGUGGGGUAAUGGGAACUGUCACCCUGCCACCAAGGGCAGCAAAGGGAGAUUUUCAUUCUGGAAACUCCAUUUACAUGGUGGUCCCCUCAACUUCUGAUUCAGCCAUGCAUGCCGGUUUCCAGUAGGAUGGCCCUGCAUGUGAGGUCAGCCCGUCCAUCUGGGCAAACUACUUAUCUCUGGUUUAAACAGGAGAUUCAAAGGAAACAACAACAGCACUAAGGAUGUAAAGACAAAAGAAAUAAAUUGAGUUAUUUUA